ACCAGACUCCUACGGGAGGCAGCAGUGGGGAAUAUUGCACAAUGGGGGAAACCCUGAUGCAGCGACGCCGCGUGAGCGAUGAAGUAUUUCGGUAUGUAAAGCUCUAUCAGCAGGGAAGAAAAUGACGGUACCUGACUAAGAAGCCACGGCUAACUACGUGCCAGCAGCCGCGGUAAUACGUAGGUGGCAAGCGUUAUCCGGAUUUACUGGGUGUAAAGGGCGUGUAGGCGGGAAAGCAAGUCAGAUGUGAAAACCAUGGGCUCAACCUGUGGCCUGCAUUUGAAACUGUUUUUCUUGAGUACUGGAGAGGCAGACGGAAUUCCUAGUGUAGCGGUGAAAUGCGUAGAUAUUAGGAGGAACACCAGUGGCGAAGGCGGCCUGCUGGGCUUUUACUGACGCUGAGGCUCGAAAGUGUGGGGAGCAAACAGGAUUAGAUACCCGAGUAA
rnacentral:rRNA from 1 species